UGUCGGGAGGUGCCUGGAAGUGUUUGUC
rnacentral:piRNA from 1 species